GACGAACGCUGGCGGCGUGCUUAACACAUGCAAGUCGAACGGAAAGGCCCUGCUUUUGUGGGGUGCUCGAGUGGCGAACGGGUGAGUAACACGUGAGUAACCUGUCCUUGACUUUGGGGUAACUUCAGGAAAAUGGGGCUAAUACCGGAUAGGAGCUCUUGCUGCAUGGUGGGGGUUGGAAAGAUUCGGCGGUGGGGGAUGGACUCGCGGCUUAUCAGCUUGUUGGUGGGGUAGGGGCUUACCAAGGCUUUGACGGGUAGCCUGCCUGAGAGGGUGACCGGCCACAAUAGGCCUGAGAUACGGCCCAGACGCGUACGGGCGGCAGCAGUGGGAAAUAUGACACAAUGGGCGCAAGCGUGAUACAGCAACGCCGCGUGCGUGAUGACCGCCUUCGGGUUGUAAACCGAUUUCGCCGGUGACGAAGCGUUAGUGACGGUAAUGGGUAAAGAAGCACCGGCUAACUACGUG
rnacentral:rRNA from 1 species